UCGAGAAUCUUCCGCAAUGGACGAAAGUCUGACGGAGCGACGCCGCGUGAUCGAUGAAGUGCUUCGGUAUGUAAAGAUCUUUUAUGAGGGAAGAAGUUUAUUGACGGUACCUCAUGAAUAAGGACCUGCAAAACUCGUGCCAGCAGCAGCGGUAAUACGAGUGGUCCAAGCGUUAUCCGGAAUUAUUGGGCGUAAAGGGUGUGUAGGUGGUUUUGUUAGUCUUUUGUUUAACCCCAGAGCUCAACUUUGGAUCUGCAAAAGAAACGGCAAGACUAGAGGGUAUGAGAGGUAAACAGAACUUAUAGUGUAGGGGUGAAAUCCGUUGAUAUUAUAGGGAAUACCAAAAGCGAAGGCAGUUUACUGGCAUACUUCUGACACUGAGGCACGAAAGCGUGGGUAG
rnacentral:rRNA from 1 species